rnacentral:rRNA from 1 species
UGCCAGCCUCCGCUGUACUCCUGAUUGUGCGAGCGUUGUCCGGAUUUAUUGGGUUUAAAGGGUGCGUAGGCGGCCUAUUAAGUCAGUGGUGAAAGGUAUCAGCUUAACUGAUGACGUGCCAUUGAAACUGAUAGGCUUGAGUACAGACGAGGUAGGCGGAAUUUAUGGUGUAGCGGUGAAAUGCAUAGAUACCAUAAAGAACACCGAUAGCGAAGGCAGCUUACUAGGCUGAGACUGACGCUGAGGCACGAAAGCGUGGGGAGCGAACAGGAUUAGAUA